UCCGGUUGAUCCUGCCGGACCUGACUGCUAUCGGAUUGAUACUAAGCCAUGCGAGUCAUUGUAGCAAUACAAGGCAUACGGCUCAGUAACGCGUAGUCAACCUAACCUAUGGACGGGAAUAACCUCGGGAAACUGAGAAUAAUGCCCGAUAGAACACUAUACCUGGAAUGGUUUGUGUUCCAAAUGAUUUAUCGCCAUAGGAUGGGACUGCGGCCUAUCAGUUUGUUGGUGAGGUAAUGGCCCACCAAGACUAUUACAGGUACGGGCUCUGAGAGGAGUAGCCCGGAGAUGGGUACUGAGACACGGACCCAGGCCCUAUGGGGCGCAGCAGGCGAGAAAACUUUGCAAUGUGCGAAAGCACGACAAGGUUAAUCCGAGUGAUUCGUGCUAAACGAAUCUUUUGUUAGUCCUAGAAACACUAACGAAUAAGGGGUGGGCAAGUUCUGGUGUCAGCCGCCGCGGUAAAACCAGCACCUCAAGUGGUCAGGAUGAUUAUUGGGCCUAAAGCAUCCGUAGCCGGCUCUGUAAGUUUUCGGUUAAAUCUGUACGCUUAACGUACAGGCUGCCGGGAAUACUGCAGAGCUAGGGAGUGGGAGAGGUAGACGGUACUCGGUAGGAAGUGGUAAAAUGCUUUGAUCUAUCGAUGACCACCUGUGGCGAAGGCGGUCUACCAGAACACGUCCGACGGUGAGGGAUGAAAGCUGGGGGAGCAAACCGGAUUAGAUACCCGGGUAGUCCCAGCUGUAAACUAUGCAAACUCAGUGAUGCAUUGGCUUGUGGCCAAUGCAGUGCUGCAGGGAAGCCGUUAAGUUUGCCGCCUGGGAAGUACGUACGCAAGUAUGAAACUUAAAGGAAUUGGCGGGGGAGCACCACAAGGGGUGAAGCCUGCGGUUCAAUUGGAUUCAACGCCGGA
rnacentral:rRNA from 1 species